GGCUGUAUUAUAUUUUCUCCCUCCUGUUUUUGUUGUUCUUCUGUUUGCUCAUGACCGACUGCUAUUCGUUCCAGUUCCCGCGUCUUCUUAUACUCCACGAUAUCCUUUUCCGUCUUGGCUCUGGCCAGCGGGUUUGUGUAUCCGAUGCUCAAUAAACAUGUCCCGACUCCUGCAUGUUUGAUCACAAAAUGAUCCAUCUUAAACAACCCAUGAGAGAUUACUCCAAAAAUGUAACUCGGGCGAGUCUUCGGAUCGGGGAAAACGUGUUCGUUCACUUGUUCCUGGACCCCUAGGCCAUUAUGUACGAAGACAAUUGUAGAAUACGGGGUGAGACGAUGUUUAACAGAUUCUAACACCCACCGCACCCUUGUAGCCUUCGAAGCGACGAUCAAGUUGUCAAUAAUUUCCUCGUUUGCGUCUAUGGGAUCUCGCUCAACAUACCCGCCAGCUCUCUUCUGUUCCUGGGCU
rnacentral:sRNA from 2 species